GGAAGACCUGCGAUUCUUUAUAGAUCCUCCAGAUGGCACUAAAGAACAUCCAGCCACCACCUGCUUGGAGUUGAUGCUCAGUCAUUCUAACUUAACCAGUGGAAUGUAUUAUAUCGACCCAAAUCAGGGCAGUCCUGCUGAUGCUUUGCUGGUCUAUUGUAACUUCGGUGCAGGAGGACAAACAUGUUUGCCAUCCCUGCAGCCACAGAUCCCCAUGAAAUCCUGGCUCAGAGACGCCAUGCCAGACUCAUUUACAUGGUUGAGCACUAUAGAUGGCGGCUUUCAG